UUCGUAGGCGGUGCGGCAAGUCGGGAGUGAAAUCCCUGGGCUUAACUCAGGGGCUGCUCCCGAAACUGCCGUGCUCGAGUGCGGGAGAGGCGAGUGGAAUUGCAGGUGUAGCGGUGAAAUGCGUAGAUAUCUGCAGGAACACCCGUGGCGAAGGCGGCUCGCUGGACCGCAACUGACGCUGAGGAACGAAAGCCAGGGGAGCAAACAGGAUUAGAUACCCUGGUAGUCCUAGCCCUAAACCAUCAGGACUUGGGGUGCAUCCCGUUCGGGGUGCGUCCCGGAGCUAACGCGUUAAGUCCUGCGCCUGGGGAGUACGGUCGCAAGGCUGAA
rnacentral:rRNA from 1 species